rnacentral:lncRNA from 1 species
AUGUUCAAUUUGCAAAAAUUCUUUAUGCCAUUGGCGAACAUAACCAAAAUUCAGAUCCCAAAAAGUAAAUCCACCAAAUUAUAAAUAUAACCGAACUCCAAAUUGAAUAGACAAGCUAUAUCCCAAUAAACCCCUAAUUUUACCCCUUGAUCCACUCGACCCAGAUGCCAAAACACACUAUAUCAACAAAAUCGACCAAUUUCACACAUUAUCUAGCAUCCGAUCAUACUUAAAAAAGAAAAAUCUUACAUGAAAAACAACAAAAUUAAAGCCAAAAUCAGGCAAACCUGUUGUAAUCAAAACGAGAGAAGAAGGUCCCGGCAAAAUCAAGAAAAAGGCAGAUAUCUA